AAUCAACGCUGGCGGCGUGCCUAACACAUGCAAGUCGCACGAGAAAGGGUAGCAAUACCUGAGUAAAGUGGCGCACGGGUGAGUACACGUGACUAAUCUACCCUCGAGUGGGGAAUAACUGAGAGAAAUCUUAGCUAAUACCGCAUAACACUUACGAGUCAAAGCAGCAAUGCGCUUGGGGAGGAGGUCGCGGCCGAUUAGCUAGUUGGCGGGGUAAUGGCCCACCAAGGCGAUGAUCGGUAUCCGGCCUGAGAGGGCGCACGGACACACUGGAACUGAAACACGGUCCAGACUCCUACGGGAGGCAGCAGUGGGGAAUUUUGGACGCAAUGGGGGAAACCCUGACGCAGCAACGCCGCGUGGAGGAUGAAGUAUCUUGGUACGUAAACUCCUUUCGAUU
rnacentral:rRNA from 1 species